rnacentral:rRNA from 1 species
AGUGAACGCUGGCGGUAGGCCUAACACAUGCAAGUCGAACGGCAGCACAGUAAGAGCUUGCUCUUACGGGUGGCGAGUGGCGGACGGGUGAGGAAUACAUCGGAAUCUACUUUUUCGUGGGGGAUAACGUAGGGAAACUUACGCUAAUACCGCAUACGACCUACGGGUGAAAGCAGGGGAUCUUCGGACCUUGCGCGAUUGAAUGAGCCGAUGUCGGAUUAGCUAGUUGGCGGGGUAAAGGCCCACCAAGGCGACGAUCCGUAGCUGGUCUGAGAGGAUGAUCAGCCACACUGGAACUGAGACACGGUCCAGACUCCUACGGGAGGCAGCAGUGGGGAAUAUUGGACAAUGGGCGCAAGCCUGAUCCAGCCAGACCGCGUGUGUGAAGAAGGCCUUCGGGUUGUAAAGCCCUUUUGUUGGGAAAGAAAAGCAGCAGGUUAAUACCCCGCUGUUCUGACGGUACCCAAAGAAUAAGCACCUGCUAACUUCGUG